AGGUGGGCCCGGUGUGUCGCCGAGAGCCAACCGGCGGUAGACCCAGCAGCCCUGCCUAACCUUGCUGAUUGCAUGCGGUACCUAGAGGAUGUGCGACCUUGAACAGCAAGAACAGAAGCAGAGGAGAGGCAGAGAGAGAGGGAGACGGAGAAUUUGAAGCCAGCUCUGCCAACAGCAGAGAGUCGAAUGCGGGGCUCAAACCCAUGAACCAUGAGAUUAUGACCUGAGCUGAAGUCAGAUGUUUAACCAACUGAGCCACCCAGAUUAAAGAAGGGAGGGAGAAUCUUCCCUCCACAGGGAUCAUAUUUACAGUAGCAAAACUGAUUCUAACAGAUAUACAAAAAAAACAUCCUCUGGGGAACUUAAUUUACUGUAGGGUUAAAUGUUCUCCAAUAACAACUGAGCGCUGGGAGAACACAUGCCCUCAGAACUCUUCUGAGAAUCGGAGUUCACCUGCCUCCAGGAUCCCGGGCUAGAUGCUGCAGAAAUUUCUUGCAGGAAGAAAAACAGGACUGCAGGCUUAGAGUAGCAGAGAGAAGACAACUACUAGCACAAGAAGCUCCCAUCCACAAAAGAAAUCUCAAGAUCAUGGGGCCGAUGGGAAGGCGAAGAUGUCGCUCCAGCCAUCGUUUCUGCCACCCCUUCUGCCACCGCAGCCCUCCCGGCCUCCUUUUCUCGGCCUUUCCCGACAUCCCUUCCUGCUCUUUGUUGCAGCCACAGAUCCCGGCUCCGGCCCGCGGCCCUUCCCCCGGAAAGGCCACCAGCAUCUUGGGCCUGCUGCGCCCCCCCCCGCCCCCCCCCCCCCCCCCCCGCCGCGCCUCCGGACCCCUUGGCACCUCGCUGUUGGCCCUUCUAACAGCGGGUUUUGGAAGACUUGGAAGCUCUAGAAACUGCUAAGAGACCUCCAGCAGAAGCAGUCUGGCACGGUUCUGUCGGAAGGAGCUGUGCCCCCUUGCGUAUCCUUCAUGAGGUCUCGCAAGCCGCGGAUCGUGGCUUUGCCUACAAAGGUGAGCAUGCUUCUGGAAGAAGCUCCUGCCACCUUAGGCGUCAGUGAGAAUGUUUGCAGGAGGAACAACAGGUCAAUUUUGCAAAAACAGGAUCCCCUCUUCCUCUGUCCUUUUGACAGUUUUUCAGAAAUGGAAGGACCAAAGACGCUCUCCAAACCCAGGGGAUCCAAUCACCAUCUACGUGGGGAUGAUUGGCAAAGCUUUCUAAGCACAAAUCUCUCACCUGAUUCCAGACCCAUAAAUCCAAAAGCCUAUUAAACAGGUGCCACAAGGACACCCCCCCCCCCAAGACGUUCAACUUCUGUAUACACUCAACAUUGCUCUUCCAGUAAUUUCCUGUCUCAGGGAACUGAUGCAGAAAUGGACCUGUUCUUGCCCUAUCUUUCAUCUGAAAUCUUUCAAUGGCUCUCCAUUGCUUAUAGCAUAAGGCCCCAAACUCAUGAGAAAACUCACAGGACCCUUUCAGAGGGGGCCCCUCUGCAAUCCUACUACUACUUACUCUCCCACUAGAAUGAAGCCCUCCACCCAUACUAACCCAUUCCCUGGGGAAUGCCUUUGCACACAUCAGACCCCUAGCCUGAAGGCUUCUCCCUCCUCUCUUUUUGUCUGGCUCACUACAGUCAAGCUUAAGUCUCCUCUGAGGCAUCACCUACUCUCCAAGAAGGAUUCCAAAGAACCCUAACUUCACACUGCUGUUAUCUCAACCCACUGCAUGAAAAAAAAUUUCCCUGUCUGCCCACCAAACUGAGCUCCUUGAAGGUAGAGACUAUGUCUGGGUUAACAUUUUAGUCCCCAGGUCAAGGGCUUGAGUGAUCAAAGGCACUGAGCAAGCUGAUGGAGUUAGAAAUAAAGCCCAACACUUUGGUCCCAUCAGCCACCGUUCCUUCUGUAACACUAGCUGAGCAAUUUGACUUCAGCUGCCCACAUGUGCCAAACUGCUUAGAAACUACUGUUUAGGAAGCAGUGUGUUUGGCUCAGAUCUGUAUGCAUAUACCUACCAGAUGAAGCCUGUUAGUUAAUUGUGUUAGUUGAAUUCUCAAAAAAUUGAUUUUUGGCAAAUACGAUCUGUCAAGUCUCCAAAAGAGAGUAUGUUUAAAAUCUUGUUCUCAUUCUGAAUUUGUCUAUUUCUCUUUGUAGUUCCACCUACUUUUGACUUGUGUGUAUCACAGACCUGUGGCCGGUUCCACAUAACAUCAUAAUUAUUAUAUCUUCUUGGACAGAUGUUCCUUUUAUCACUAUGAAAUGUUUUUCUUGAUCUCUUUUAAUAUUGUU